rnacentral:rRNA from 1 species
GUGCCAGCCGCCGCGGUAACCCCAGCGCCACUAGUGGGAAUCGGUAUUAUUGGGCCUAAAGCGUCCGUAGCAGGCUUUCUAAAUUAUUUGUGAAAUUGCGUCGCUCAACGAUGCAGACUGCAGGUAAGACUGGAAAGCUAGAGACUGGGAGACGUUGGAGGUAUUCAAAGGGGAGCGGUAAAAUGCGAGAAUCCUUUGAAGACCACCUGUUGCGAAGGCGUCCAACAAUAACAGGUCUGACUGUGAGGGUCGAAAGCUAGGGGAGCGAACCGGAUUAGAAACCCCUGUAGUCC